AAAGCAGAAAUAACAUUAAACCUUGAAUAUUAGAAUACCUUACAAGUUGUAGCUCAGAAAAAUAUGUCACAAUGCACAGGAAAUGACAUUUUAGGCUCAACAAGAAAACACUGCUAUUGUGUUGGCUAGGUGGUUAAGUUUGAAUAUGGUUAUUUUACCAGUACUGUCAAGUUUUCAUACUCCAGUUGUAUUAUGAAGGGAUUCUAAUGAAGAUUAAAUAGUAGACUUCAAUGUGCUGUUGUGUUGAAUAGAACAGGAAAAGUAUCAAAUACUGAAGUCCCUUUCACUCAUCCUCUUUGCUGAUGACGAUGUGUGUCGACAUUGAAGAAAAUUGCGCUGAUUUUGUGAUAGGCAGGGACAGAAUCGAAGCUUCCCAGUUGUUUAAAUGUAUGAAUGUAAACAAGUUACCACAUUCCGUCAAUACAAGGAGGACCAAAGCUGCUUAAAGUCGCAUGUAAUGCUGUAUUGCUCCAUGAAGAAUUGUAGAAAAGUGUGUUGGAGAUGUACUGAUAGAGACUGAGUAGUCAUUGAUGACGAAGACACCAAAGUACAAACAAACAACUUGAAAAUUGAUCCUACAGCCUCUUUAUUAUGUGGCAGUUUCUCCUUGAAUCAAUAACGUUCUGCAGUGUCCCAUUUGUGUUCCUGUUAUUUCCCCUUUUAGUGAUCAAUGAAAAUAAAUGUUUAAAUAGUU
rnacentral:lncRNA from 1 species